GAGUGUUGGAGGGCAGCUCACAGUAACAUUCUGCUGUGUUGUGAUUAUGGAGUGAGCAUGGAGCAGCAGGACCAAAACAAGAGGAGAAGGGGAUACAAUGAGGACACAGCGUGGCUUUAUGCCUGAUCAAUGAAAGGUAGAUUAGUUCAGAAUUGAGGGCUCAUCAAGAAUCGAUGCUUUGCAGAAGGACCGCCUGCAGACUCCUAUGAGUUUGUUUUCUACCACCAAGGGAUUGGAUGUAUGAAGACAAAGUCCUUCCAAAUGUGAUGGAUCAAUGAGGACAUAAAACAGAAGGCGUAAAAGUAGCUACUGACAUUUGGACUCAAGAAAACUCGUAGCAGGAUCAGACAAACACUCAGAUGGAUGUAAUGGCGUGGAAAUACCGCUGCUCUCUUGAAUUACCAGACUUUUGAGACAGCCAAACAAGGGAUGGGGAGAAGAGCCGCUGACCUGACAACUCCAGUUCCAGUUUUGGGUGUCCCUGCCCUGGUUGGAGUGCGUGGUUGGAGAACAACAGGAGUAGACAGAGCCCUGCUUCACACAUGGGGACCUCAGUGCAGCGUGGGUGUUCAGACAUCCCCGGGGGUAAGCAGACCACUCACCCAGCACAGUGUACAGUUAACUGAUACACUCUCUACGCCAUUGGAUAGCAUUACUCAAACAUCCAAGAGCUACAUCACCAAGGAAACGGUGUACAAGGAGAUAUUACUUCUAACAAAGACUGACAAGGAGAAAAGGGUUAUUUUAAAACAGAAAAGUGGGGAAUCCAAGACCAAAAAAGAAGUGACUUUCAAAGCACUAGGAGGUGAGGCCUCUGAGGAUGUGGCCUGCAGUCAGAGGAACAGUAGUGGGACUUAUUGCUAUGCCAGGGCAAUCAAGACCAACCCACACUUUGCUGGGAAUCUAACCAACGUCAGGUCUAAAUUAAAAUCUGCUCACCGCUACACCAACGGCAGCGUGGUAGAUUCAGAGGCGAUCGGCGGAAUUAGUGUUCACAGCGACGAGGCAGAGUCUGUCAACAGUGCACUCUCUCGUGAAAGAGACCCAACCGGACUGCAAGGUCAUCAUGCAGAGCGGUGUGGGAAGCUGCUGUUAUCUGCUGCCCGACCUUUUGGAAUGCCACAAAGAAUAUGCAGCCAUUGCGGUGGCAAACAGAAUGAGAAAAGCUCCAAUACUGGCGCUUGUCUCGCAGAGAAACAGCCGAAGUCGAAGUCAGCCUCCGCCUUACCUACCACGCAUGUCCAGAUGCCCAAUAUGGAGAAAAACUUUAAGCCUAGCCAUUGUGAAAUCUCUGAGAGCAUCACAAACAGAGACAACAGGACACUCGUUAAUCCACAAAUGUUAUAUUUGAGUGAAGAACUAAAGUAUGGAAAUACCCCACACCCAGCAUGCCCAGUGCACUCUAAAGGCAAUUUGGACACUUUUUCAGAGACACGUGCUGCAAUUGAUGCAACGUCUCCUCAACCCACAACCAUCCUCCAUGCCAAAACCAUAACUUUUACUAAAGCAACGAUUGAAAUAAGAAAAGAGGAAGCCAGUAUAAAAUGUUUAGCAAAAUCGCCACAAGGCGGUAAAGUCCCGCGACCAACAACUCUCGCUCUGGCUCCGCAGUUUGCAACAGCUACCAAACCAAACAAGCCACACACACACACUUAUCCUAAGCAGUUUGAAAACCCACAAAACAACUCGGCGCAAAAUAAUGUGCCUAAAAAAGGUUUGUCACCAUCUUCUCAAUUUGAAAACACAUCUACUACCAACACGCGCAAAUCAAUCACAAAAUUUAAUACUGUACUGGCGUCCACUGAAAGUAUACCUGCUAAAUUUGCUGAUACGCAACAUGAAAUAGUAAGUGUAGAAAUAAAUACAACUCAUAGGCUGGGAAUAAGCCCUAAAAUACCUGUCUUAUUACAAGUAGCCAAUGCAUUAGACCCUGCAAGUCGACCACGUUUCUCUCGCAAUUCUACAUAUACCCCUCAAGAAGAAACAGUAUCAAGCUUUGAGGAAAAAUCACCUGGAAAAGCAUCUUUUAUUGACACUGCGAUGAACUCAAGUAGAUUUUCCAUGCAAAACAAAACUGCGUCACAUUCAAUUCUCAGAACUGUUGUCCCACAGAACGCUUUGAAUCGCACCUCUAGUUCAGAUCAUACCAGCACUGAAAGUAAAUCUGUGGCUACACAGAUCCAACCUAUUCUACAUAACGCCUCAAAGUCCGAGCCUGCGCUUCAUGUUUCCACAGGAUCUGUAAACGCAACAUUAAGUGAAACAAAACCCCUUGACUCAAGAGUUAGGUUGCCUUCAAGUGCAGCACCCAGUUCUACAUCUACAUGCAACGGCACUCUAUUAAAAAAUAAAGCCCUCAGGUACUCCUCAAUCAAUCUGAAAACUUCACCACACACUGUCUCCACCUCUUCAUCUACAUUGACAGGAAACCAAAGUAACGUCCGUGCCACAGAUACAGCUUUGCUGCAAUCAGCAGACACAACACAACACACCAACGUUCUUAAUCGGAGUGACGCGCCUCAACCUGAUCACACGCUAGCAACAGACAGCAGGUUUCAAAGCGGGAAUGAAUCUUGUGUGUGUGGUGUUGUUUCCAAUCAGGAAAACAACUCAACAAUGACUCCGGUUGCAUUAUCCGAGCAGCUAAACGUGUCAAAAGAUCACAUCAAAGUCAGUGAUGCAAGCACCCCAACUCCUAAAUCAGCCAUUAUUCCGGCUACUGAAUCAUAUACGCGUGGAAAUAAAUUCAGUCGUAAUCUAAUCAAUGAAUUAGUUUUGCAUGAGUCAAAUGACCAUGAAAAUUCAAAUGUGCCCCAGGUCACCGACCUUAAGAAUUACAUUUCCCUAAUUAAGUCAAGCAGCUCUUGUCUCCGGGGUUGCAUAAACACAGGGCAACAAAGGUGCACGCAUCAUCAAGAAUACAAAGACACUGAACAUGAGGGACAAUCCACUACAUGCCCACCAGUAAAGAGCGCCCAGGAGACGGAUUCAAAAACAGAACAAUUCUCCUCUGGAUUCUCAGUCAGGCAUGCGAAUAUUAGUCUUAAAUAUAAGGCCGACGAACGGACACUUUCCAAUCACUCAAAACCAGUUGACAAAGCACAAUCAAACAGUGAGACCACUUUCUCAUCACUGAAAGACACUGGUGUACAUGUCGAGGCAAUUACAAAACCUUUAGUUCUCCAAACCUCUGAUUCAGAACCUUCAUCCCUAUCACAAACACACAAAAGUCCAGAGCUUUCAUUCACUGCACCAUUCCCUUUUCACAGACAGGAAAAGUGUUUUAUGCGCACAGGCACUGAAUGCAAUUCCAUAUUGCCGUCAUCAACAAAGGUCUUGGCAUCCAUUUCCUGCCUCCCGUCCUGCGAGGCAGAGGCGAUCGUCAGAGUGGAUUCAAAAUGUAGCGCUGCCCCCCCUCAGCCGUGCCCAGAGGACCCUAGCCUGGCUCACUCGCAGACAGCUGCUGCAGCCCUGUUGCUGCCUCCUUCCCCACAGUGCUGCAAAUCAGCAGCCCUACAGCAGAGGCUCGAGACUGUGGAGGCCAGCCUGGCAGCCAACAAGGACAGGAUCACUACUCUGCUUAACAUUAUCCAUGACCUGGAGACCUGCCACACUCCCACCAGUGGUGUGCUAAUAGGUUGUGACUGCCUCCGAGGUCAUGUUUCAGAAUAACCAGCUCCUAAUAACCAACUGAUGUCUGACAUAAUGCAUGUUAUACGGCCCAUCGCUGCCAACAUCAGUCUGGAAGAAUAUCACAUACACAGGAUGAGUGUUUGCUAAUAGGUUGUGACUGCCUCCGAGGUCAUGUUUCAGAAUAACCAGCUCCUAAUAACCAACUGAUGUCUGACAUAAUGCAUGUUAUACGGCCCAUCGCUGCCAACAUCAGUCUGGAAGAAUAUCACACACACAGGAUGAGUGUCGGCAUUGCUUCAACACUGGACAGGACCUCAACAACUGCUUAACCUGCCAGAAGACUGCUUGUAUUGUGUACAGUGUGGAGUAUGACUUCAGGCAGCAGGAAAGACGCUUCUUGGAAGUUCUGAACCUUUCGACAAAAGGAAAUAAUGCUUUCAACGCGCACUCCUCCCCUCCCCUGAACUUCAGCCUGCUCAGAAAUGUCAUCAUUAAGAACUUAACAAAGUCAAAGGUGAGAAGCAAAAAGCUUUGCAAGACCCUGUUCAAAUGGCUGCCCAGGAAAAUCCAGCAAGUGUAGACCUCUCCACAAAACCUGUGUGCUGUUUUAUAGCCAUAAGCCUGUGUUUCAAGUGACCAGCAGAAGCCUUUGCAGAGGACUUCUACUCCUCCUUUCCUACCCAUAGAAUAAGGUGACUCUGGAUUAGGCUCUCACCCAAUAGAGUUCCACUCUCCUGCACAUUGUCAAAGCUUAUAAACAUUUUGUACCCCUUAUCUUUGUGACCUUCAUCUAGUAUCAUCCAUAUUUCACAUCUGAAGGUUAAUGUGAUUUUGUUGUCAAUAUGCCUGCUGCAAACCCCAGCCACACAUUUCUGUAUCUAAUUUUACAUAAACAAAUCUGUUAUUCACAUUAUGAUUAAUGCACUAUAAAUUCUAGUUGAUGUCACAUUUCCCUUUUAUCUGUCCCUCUUGCCUGCUUCUUAAGAUUAAAUGUGCAGCAUAAAACAAGUUUUUCAAUGGAAUCAUUUUGAAAUGUAAAAAUAAA